UACGUAGGGCGCAAGCGUUGUUCGGAAUUAUUGGGCGUAAAGCGCGCGCAGGCGGUCCUUUAAGUCUGAUGUGAAAGCCCACGGCUCAACCGUGGAGGGUCAUUGGAAACUGGGGGACUUGAGUGCAGAAGAGGAAAGCGGAAUUCCACGUGUAGCGGUGAAAUGCGUAGAGAUGUGGAGGAACACCAGUGGCGAAGGCGGCUUUCUGGUCUGUAACUGACGCUGAGGCGCGAAAGCGUGGGGAGCAAACAGG
rnacentral:rRNA from 1 species